rnacentral:miRNA from 2 species
AAAACCUUCAGAAGGAAAGAA